rnacentral:rRNA from 1 species
UACGUAGGGUGCAAGCGUUAAUCGGAAUUACUGGGCGUAAAGCGUGCGCAGGCGGUUUUGUAAGUCUGUCGUGAAAUCCCCGGGCUCAACCUGGGAAUUGCGAUGGAGACUGCAAGGCUAGAAUCUGGCAGAGGGGGGUAGAAUUCCACGUGUGAGCAGUGAAAUGCGUAGAGAUGUGGAGGAACACCGAUGGCGAAGGCAGCCCCCUGGGUCAAGAUUGACGCUCAUGCACGAAAGGCGUGGGGAGCAAACGAG